GAUGAACGCUGGCGGCGUGCCUAAUACAUGCAAGUCGAGCGAACGGACGAGAAGCUUGCUUCUCUGAUGUUAGCGGCGGACGGGUGAGUAACACGUGGAUAACCUACCUAUAAGACUGGGAUAACUUCGGGAAACCGGAGCUAAUACCGGAUAAUAUUUUGAACCGCAUGGUUCAAAAGUGAAAGACGGUCUUGCUGUCACUUAUAGAUGGAUCCGCGCUGCAUUAGCUAGUUGGUAAGGUAACGGCUUACCAAGGCAACGAUGCAUAGCCGACCUGAGAGGGUGAUCGGCCACACUGGAACUGAGACACGGUCCAGACUCCUACGGGAGGCAGCGGUAGGGAAUCUUCCGCAAUGGGCGAAAGCCUGACGGAGCAACGCCGCGUGAGUGAUGAAGGUCUUCGGAUCGUAAAACUCUGUUAUUAGGGAAGAACAUAUGUGUAAGUAACUGUGCACAUCUUGACGGUACCUAAUCAGAAAGCCACGGCUAACUACGUGCCAGCAGCCGCGGUAAUACGUAGGUGGCAAGCGUUAUCCGGAAUUAUUGGGCGUAAAGCGCGCGUAGGCGGUUUUUUAAGUCUGAUGUGAAAGCCCACGGCUCAACCGUGGAGGGUCAUUGGAAACUGGAAAACUUGAGUGCAGAAGAGGAAAGUGGAAUUCCAUGUGUAGCGGUGAAAUGCGCAGAGAUAUGGAGGAACACCAGUGGCGAAGGCGACUUUCUGGUCUGUAACUGACGCUGAUGUGCGAAAGCGUGGGGAUCAAACAGGAUUAGAUACCCUGGUAGUCCACGCCGUAAACGAUGAGUGCUAAGUGUUAGGGGGUUUCCGCCCCUUAGUGCUGCAGCUAACGCAUUAAGCACUCCGCCUGGGGAGUACGACCGCAAGGUUGAAACUCAAAGGAAUUGACGGGGACCCGCACAAGCGGUGGAGCAUGUGGUUUAAUUCGAAGCAACGCGAAGAACCUUACCAAAUCUUGACAUCCUUUGACAACUCUAGAGAUAGAGCCUUCCCCUUCGGGGGGCAAAGUGACGGGUGGUGCAUGGUUGUCGUCAGCUCGUGUCGUGAGAUGUUGGGUUAAGUCCCGCAACGAGCGCAACCCUUAAGCUUAGUUGCCAUCAUUAAGUUGGGCACUCUAAGUUGACUGCCGGUGACAAACCGGAGGAAGGUGGGGAUGACGUCAAAUCAUCAUGCCCCUUAUGAUUUGGGCUACACACGUGCUACAAUGGACAAUACAAAGGGCAGCGAAACCGCGAGGUCAAGCAAAUCCCAUAAAGUUGUUCUCAGUUCGGAUUGUAGUCUGCAACUCGACUACAUGAAGCUGGAAUCGCUAGUAAUCGUAGAUCAGCAUGCUACGGUGAAUACGUUCCCGGGUCU
rnacentral:rRNA from 1 species